rnacentral:rRNA from 1 species
CAGCCAUAUGGCGCGGGUGAGAGCUUGGGGUACACCGCGGAGUUCCGCCUCAACCCGAUGUGCUUGCGGGAUAAGGAUCUCUGGCUUAUGCGGUGCCCACUGAUAUGCAACUGGGCGGUUGAGUUUCAUUUGCCGCAUCGCGUGUAUCGUCAGUUUGGUCUUUUCCAGCCUCACCCGCCGGAUUGGGUGGACACGGAUAAAGCACUUCAUAGGUUGGAUAGGAGAAGGCAACGGAAGAUAAAGGACUGGGCCAAGCAUCAUUCUGCGUAUGUUACCCGCUUCCAGCUUUGUGUGGAGCAAGCUCGUAGCACUGCACGCGCCCCGCUUCGUGAGCACAACUCACUUGCUUUUGAUAACUACGUACGAUGGUUUAUUGGAACUACUCGAGUUGAGAUAUGCCCGCCGGCAUAUAAUGAGGAUAUUCUUGAAGAACCCGUAAACUUUGAGGAUCUAGCAAAGGGGAAGUACAACAGAGAUGUCAGGCUAGGGCAAGGAGUCCCUGCUGUUCCGGUGAUUAACUAUGUGCGCACCGAGAUCAAGAAAGCAGCUGAUGAGAGCCAGUCUAUUCUGGAGAAGACACCGGUUGGAACUGGCAAUGAUGAUGGUUCACUACGAGCAUUCCUCAAGCGUCAGGCCAAGAAGUUAAGGCGGUUAUCGAACCUUCUCGGUUGCCGUGAUCCUGAAUAUGAUGAACCAUCUGCCUCUAGGUCUGGUACACCAUCAGACCCCGCACCUCACCAUGAGGGGGACGAUGUGAGUUCCUCAUAUGCUUAUGUGGAUGAUGAGGGU